AGUUAUAUAGUCUAGUUGGGAGGAUCCUAGCUUUUUAGCUAGAGGCCUGGGUUUAAUUCCUAAUAUAACUC